CUGGGCACAGCUAGCGCAACACUCGGCCGAGCUACAUAACACACUGCCUCCCGACGAGGGAGUGGAUUUACAGGAAACUGAGGGUUGGGGUGGGUGGGCAUAUUCUCACAUCGAAACGGCCAGUUGAAAUGCACUACACACGAACGGACAGGCGAAAGGAGCCAAGUAGCAUCCAGAAGCGGAAGCCAGAGACAAUGGUGUCUUGUGUCACUGUCACGAGUCACAAGACUGCUUCAUUUGGUUCUACAUUGUGCGGAGAUCGGAGUUUGGCAUAUCCGUCAUCACCAUGGCGAAGCAGGAGGGGAGGCCACUCUAAACAAACACAAAACAGCCACCCACAUGCAUACACUCUUUUUGGAGGAAUGCCCAUUGCAGACCUGAGAUGGGGGAGGUGUGGCUUACAGAUGCUGCAGACACACGCAUGCACCGUUCCCAUCCAGUGAGUCUGCCAAAACACACAGCGAUUCCUCUGAGGCGGAACCCCCACCCUGCAGCAUGGAGCUUCCUAGCUUACCACACACACACAAAUACACCUUCUCUCACUCUCGGUCUCACCUAAUCUUCUACUUAAUGGUGGCCUCUGUAUCUUAGAGCUCAUGUUCUCUCCGUCUGCCCCCGUCUUUGAUUCUCUCUCUUUUUCCAGAUUGGCAAUCUCCAUGUCUCCUUGUUCUCUUGGUCUAGUUAUCCUUUCAUUCCCUCUCUGUUCCAGUCAGUGGCUGCUGUGGAUCACAGAUGUAGCUUAUGCUUUUGUCCGCUUUCACUCGACCUGUCGGGUUUCUGGACUGUUUUGUCGAAUAAACUGGACUUGUGACUCUGUGUCAUUCUUUUUUAAA